GAUGAACGCUAGCGGCAGGCUUAACACAUGCAAGUCGAGGGGUAGGUUACUUCGGUAAUUGAGACCGGCGCACGGGUGCGUAACGCGUAUACAAUCUACCUUUUACAGAGGGAUAGCCCAGAGAAAUUUGGAUUAAUACCUCAUAGUAUUUUUGAAUCGCAUGAUUUGAUUAUUAAAGUUCCAACGGUAAAAGAUGAGUAUGCGUCCCAUUAGCUAGAUGGUAAGGUAACGGCUUACCAUGGCUACGAUGGGUAGGGGUCCUGAGAGGGAGAUCCCCCCACACUGGUACUGAGACACGGACCAGACUCCUACGGGAGGCAGCAGUGAGGAAUAUUGGACAAUGGGCGCAAGCCUGAUCCAGCCAUGCCGCGUGCAGGAAGAAGGUCCUAUGGAUUGUAAACUGCUUUUAUACAAGAAGAAACACUCCCUCGUGAGGGAACUUGACGGUACUGUAUGAAUAAGGACCGGCUAACUCCGUGCCAGCAGCCG
rnacentral:rRNA from 1 species